GGGAAAUGGGAAGAGGGGCCAGCCUCAGGCCCCACUCCAAACUGGGGCA
rfam:Homo sapiens chromosome 8, GRCh38 reference primary assembly.